rnacentral:lncRNA from 1 species
UAUUCAAUCAUAGAUAUAUAUACAUAUAUAUUCAAGAUACAUUUUGACUCUAUGCUAUGAUCAAAUAUUGAAGUGACAUAAUACAGUGCAAUAAUUUUACUAAUUUGCCCAAAUCACAAACUAUGUUUUCACUUCUGUAAUAAGUAGUUGAAAUAGUGGUUCUUGCAUAUUCCUUUUGUUUUGUUUUGUUUUGUUUUUCUUACAGUCCAGUGCACAAGUGGCUGAUAUAGUCUAUUAUCAAGGCCCUUUUUUCAAAUCGAUCAUAAAGCUAGCCCAGUCUUUGGAGCUACUUGCUUUAUGAGCUUUUGGCAACUAUGUUGAUUUGCUAGG